GAUGAACGCUGGCGGCGUGCCUAACACAUGCAAGUCGAGCGAUUUACUUCGGUAAAGAGCGGCGGACGGGUGAGUAACGCGUGGGUAACCUGCCCUGUACACACGGAUAACAUACCGAAAGGUAUGCUAAUACGGGAUAAUAUGCUUUAGUCGCAUGGCUAAAGUAUCAAAGCUCCGGCGGUACAGGAUGGACCCGCGUCUGAUUAGCUAGUUGGGAAGGUAACGGCUUACCAAGGCGACGAUCAGUAGCCGACCUGAGAGAGUGAUCGGCCACAUUGGAACUGAGACACGGUCCAAACUCCUACGGGAGGCAGCAGUGGGGAAUAUUGCACAAUGGGCGAAAGCCUGAUGCAGCAACGCCGCGUGAGCGAUGAAGGCCUUCGGGUCGUAAAGCUCUGUCUUCAAGGAAGAUAAUGACGGUACUUGAGGAGGAAGCCCCGGCUAACUACGUGCCAGCCGCCGCCGUAA
rnacentral:rRNA from 1 species